rnacentral:lncRNA from 1 species
UAUAUAGAAUGUGAAAGGUCUUCUCACAUAGGAUGAUUCUUGAUUAAAAGGAUAAUCACCUAAAAUGAAUCAUGCUUGUUAGAAUAGAAUAACUUGAAGUUGAGCCUUAUGAUUCCUUCAUGUGUAGUUGAAUUAUAUAUCUUAGGAUGGUAGAUCUCCUAGAAGCUUGGGAUGGUAGAUAUCAUGGUAGCUUGGGAUUGAGGAAUUAUGCUCUCAUAAGGUUAGCUUGAACUAGUAUUGGUAGGAUGCUUUUUAUUGUAGCUUGCAUUAAUAUAGGCAUGAUGGCCUUGAAUUAAGGAUCUAUGCUCUCCUAUGGGUAGCUUGAACUAGCAUUGUUAGAAUGCCUUCAUGGUAGCUUGACUUGGUUAGGCCAAGACUAUUUCUUGGUAGCUUAGGAUUGAGACACUAUACUCUCCUAUGGAUAGCUUAGGGUUGAAGACUCAUACUCCCCUAAGGAUAACUUGUAUCAUAUUGAAUGGUUGUAUGGUAGCUAGGUUGGUAUACUUGUAUCCUUUCUUGGAUAGUUUGGAUUGCAUGAUAAGGUGCUUACCAUGGUAGUGAGGUCUAGCAUAGUAGUACGCUAUUCUUUCGUAGUCUAGAAUGACGAAUCGUAAGCAUUGAGUAAGCUAGCCUAAGGGAGUACUUAGUGUGAGUGGUAGUAUGGGAUGUCAUUCGUACAUGGGACAAGUAUGACUUGAAGCUACUUACUAAGUGUCCUCUUAUGUAAUGUAUGCCUAGCUUGGAUUGUUGUUAUAGUUGCCUUCCAUGAUAUGAUUGAAUCAAGUUGAUAGUUCGUUGUCAAUAUGAAGUAGGUUAAUAGUGACUUCUAGAAAUGGUAAAUAUGAAUAUGGUGACUUCAAAGAUAUGCUUGGUGUGUGUGGUAUUAUGGGAUGCCCCACAUGCAUUGCACAAGUGUGUCUUGAGGUUACUUAGGAGUAUAGUGUUCUUAUGACAUGAAAACUUAGGUCUUGACUAUGAAGGUGGACUAUGACCAAGAAUGACUAAAGAAAGGUACUUAGCUUGGAUAGUAUUAUGGGAUGCUAUUCUUGCCUUGCACAAGUAUACUUGGAGGUGGCUUGUGAAGUAGUUCUCUUAAAUAUGAAAGAAUAAUGGUUGAAGUAUGAAAUUAUGAAUGUCUUAUGUUGACUUGUCUUGAUAUGAUGCUUAUGUUAGAGUUUAUGUUAUGAAUAUGUUAUUGUCUCUUAUGCUUAUGUCUUAUGUUGACUAACCCUUUUUGAGAUGCUUUAUGAUGUUAUGCUAGCUUUCAUACUUGGUACAUUUUGUACUAACGCAUAUUGCCUAUAUUCUAAUCAAAUGUAGGGUGUUGGAGAUUGAGUUGCUUGAAGGCUAGGUUUCCAAGGAUCUAGAAGACUUGAAAAUUUGGUGAGUCCUCAUAGCUUCAAGGACAAACCCACUAUGUUCCUUUUAUGUCAUUCUUGUGUUUUAGACUUUUAUAUGGGUUGCGUCCCAACACUUUUAUUGAUUUUAUUCAUAGAUGGUUUGAGACAAAGACUUAGUAAAGACUUCCGCUUGCUUAUGAAAUUGUCUUAGAUUGUUUGAAAGAAAGUUUUAAAGUUUCCCUACUUUUCUACGAUCUUAUGUUAGUAUAAUGCUAAGAGCUUGUAUGAGACCCCUUCGGGGUCAAGUACGCCAUAUUACGUCUAGGGGGUACCCCUGGGUCGUGACAAGUUGAUAGUUCCUUGUCAAUAUGAAGUAGGUCAAUAGUGACACCUAGAAAUGGUAAAUAUGAAUAUGGUGACUUGAAGGAUAUGCUUGGUGUGUGUGGUAUUAUGGGAUGCCCCACAUGCAUUGCACAAGUGUGUCUUGAGGUUACUUAGGAGUAUAGUGCUCUUAUGACAUGAAAACCUAUGUCUUGACUAUGAAGGUGGACUAUGACCAAGAAUGACUAAAGAGAGGUACUUAGCUUGGAUAGUAUUAUGGGAUGCUAUUCUUGCCUUGCACAAGUAUACUUGGAGGUGGCUUGUGAAGUGGUUCUCUUAAAUAUGAUAGACUAAUGGUUGAAGUAUGAAAUUAUGAAUGUCAUAUGUGGACUUGUGGUGAUAUGAUGCUUAUGUUGGAGUUUAUGUUAUGAAUAUUUUAUUGUCGCUUAUGCUUAUGUUAUGUUGACUAACCAUUUUGAGAUGCUUUAUGAUGUUAUGCUAGCUUUCAUACUUGGUACAUUUUGUACUAACGCAUAUUGCCUACAUUCUAAUCAAAUGUAGGGUGUUGGAGAUUGAGUUGCUUGAAUGCUAGGUUUCCAAGGAUCUAGAAGACUUGAAGAUUUGGUGAGUCCUCAUAACUUUGAGGACAAACCCACUAUGUUCCUUUUAUGUUAUUCUUAUGUUUUACACUUUUUAUGGGCUACGUCCCAAGAUUUUUAUUCAUGUUAUUCAUAUAUGGUUUGAGACAAAGACUUAGUAAAGACUUCCGCUUGCUUAUGAAAUUGUUUUAGAUUGUUUGAAAGAAAGUUUUAAAUUUUCCCUACUUUUCUACGAUCUUAUGUUAUGAUGAUGCUAAGGGCUUGUAUGAGACCCCUUUGGAGUCAAGUAUGCCAUAUUACGUCUAGGGGGUACCCCUGGAUCGUGACAGGUUAUAUCCUAUCCUGGCACUUGAAUUGAUAUUUAAAAGUAAAAAAGAGUUCAGGAAUGUUGUGAUAACUCAUGAAGUCAGUCAAGGAAAGUAUAUAAAAUGGCGCAAGAAUGAUAAGGAAAGGAUACGAGCAGUUUGUGCGAAGCAUCCAGAUUGUGAUUGGGAGAUUAUGGCUUCUAAAAUGUACAGAGAUUGUGCUUUUCAAGUAAAGACAUACAAUCCGACCCACAAGUGCAAAAAUAGGAACUAUGUUAACAAAACCAUCACAUCAUUUUUCAUUGCUAGAAAAUAUCUUAAUGCCAUAAAAACAAACAGGAAUUGGAAGAUCUCUGAAUUUAGAGAUCAUGGUAGUAUUCAGUUAAGAGCACAUGUGAUAUUAUCUAAAUGUAGAAGGGCAAAAAAGAAGGCAAUUGCAACGAUCGAUGGAGAUAUCUCUGAUCAAUUCAAGUUGUUGUGGAACUAUUGCAAUGAAAUAGUGAGGACAAAUCCAAAUACUUAUGUUUAUAUGAAGUUGGUUGAAAAUGAAGAACCCUGCAAGCCUGAAAGAUUUCAGAGAUUCUACAUUUGUUUUAGUGCUUGCAAGGAAGGAUUCAAAAGUGGUUGUAAAAAGAUAGUAGGAGUGGAUGGUUGUUGGUUCAAGGGUCCAAUGUAUGAGACUCAAUUGUUAACUGUUAUUGGGCUUGAUCCUAAUAACAAUAUCUAUCCGAUAGCAUAUGCAGUUGUGGAGAAAGAAAAUUGUGAGUCAUGGGCAUAGUUUUUGGAUCAUCUAAAGCUUAACUUGGAGAUCGAUAAUGGAGCUCACUGGACCUUCAUGUCAGACAAACAAAAAGGUCUGAUAGAAGCAUUUAAUGAUAUAUUGCCUUUUGUCGCUCAUAGAUUUUGUGUUAGACACUUGCAUAGUAAUUUCAAAAGGGCUGGAUUUGGUGGUAACACACUAAGAAAUGCACUUUGGAAAGCUGCUAGUGCGACAACAGUAAGGUGGUUUGAUGAACGCAUGGUUGAAAUAUUUGAUUUGGAUCCCGAAGUUGCUAUUUGGUUGAGAGAUAAGUCACCUAGUGAAUGGUCUAAAUCUCACUUCUCCGAAGAUGCAAAAUGUGAUACCUUAGUGAAUAACAUAUGUGAAUAUUUUAAUAGCAUGAUAUUGGAUGCAAGAGAUAAGGAUUGCUCAUGACAAAAAUGCAAGCAAAUAGGGAUAAAUCUGCCAAGUGGAGUUCUGAUGAUAUUUACCCCAGAAUUAAAAAUGUAUUGUGCAAAAGUCAAGCUGCCGCUUCUGAAUAUAUUCCUAAAAAAUCAAAUGAGUGGAACUAUGAGCUUAUAGGAGCUAGCAUAACUGACAUUUGGGCCGUAAAUUUGUUAAAUAGAAAAUGCAGCUGUAGAAAAUGGAAUUUGAUAGGGCUACUUUGUAAACAUGUUAUAGCAGCAAUUUGGGCAAAAAAUGAUGAAAUCAGUUCGUAUAUUGAUGAUUGCUAUAAGGUGGAAACUUAUAGAAGGAUCUAUGAAUUUGUUAUUCUUCCUAUGAAUGGUCAAAGUAUGUGGCCGCAACAUGAUAAUAUUCUUCCUUUGCCUCCAAGAGUAGUAAGACAAAGUACUAAAGGGAGAAAACAAAAGAAGAGAAAAAAAGAAUCAGAUGAAGUUGGCGCGAGUAGGAAAAAAGCUAAGAGGAAGCAAAAAUAUUUAGGAUGCAGUAGAUGCCACAAGCUUGGACAUAACACAAGAACUUGCAAGUAUAAUUUGUUGCAGACAGAGUCUCAAAAUGUAUCUCCGCUAUAUCAUGAAUCAUCUUCAUCAUGUGCUCCUACAAAACUACCAGUACUUUUUCUUUUAUCUAUAGCGUAUUUCACUUAAUUUAUUAUAUUAAAUUUGUGUAAACAUUUCCACUAAUUCAUUAUACUUCACAGGUUAGAAGAGCUGCAGAGAAUCGAGCUAAUUUUAAAUCAACGAAGUGACAGUGCUCUCGUGAUUGAUGUAGUUUUGCGAAAUUUGAUUUAUGGUGCAAAUUUACAUUUGAGUGAUAAUUUUAUGUGAUUAGUUGUUUUUUUUUUGUUGUUUUAUGUUAUUUUCUUUAGCUGAUCAUUGUAGUGUUUUUUGGUGUUGUUUUUGUGCAGUUUAGGGUAGCUUGGUGAUGCUUUUUGGUGCAGUUUUGGUGUGGUUUGGCGCAGUUUCUAUGCUAGUCUUUGUGCAGUUUGGUGCUAAUUUUUGGUGGUUGGGUGCUGCUGUCUGUGCAACAAUUUGGUGCUGUUUUUUGCGUAGUUUGGUGACGUUUUUGGAGCUGUUUUUGUGCAGUUUGGUGACGUUUUUGGAGUUGUGUUUUGUGCAGUUUGGUGCUGAUUUUUGGUAGUCUGAUGCAGCAGUUUGGUGCUGAUUUUUUGGUGGUUUGAUGCUGCUGUCUAGUGAUGUGUUAUGUAUAGUUUGGUGCUGAUUUUUUGGUGUUUUGAUGCUGCUGUCUAGUGAUGUGUUAUGUAUAGUUUGGUGCUGAUUUUGCAGUUUUCUGCUGAUUUUUUGGUGUUUUGGUGCUGCAAUUCGAUCAAAGUUUGAUAGCUGCUAUUUUUUGUUGUAGUUUAAGCUAUUUUCUGCACAAAAAUUGUUGAAAACAGAGCACUAUAGUUCAAUUUAGUUGCUGAUUUUUGAACUUUUCUGCAAUUUUAUGCAGUUUCAUUGAUGUAAUGACCGAUUAUUAACAUGAAAAUAGAAUCAUAUUUUUUGCUCACAAUAUUUUCUCAAUUGUGUUCGUUACUUUGCCUUUUGCUUUAACUCGCAUGAAAUAACGACCAACGACAUAAUUGCAAUAAGACAAUGAAGAAAAGAAUUGAAAAAAAGGGUGAGGAAAUAGUGAGAUAAUGGCAAAAGAAAUGACAAAAAGAAAGUCAAUGGAGAAGAAUUGAAAAAAAAAAAGAAGUGAGGAAACAAUGAGAUAACGGAGAAAAAGAGGUGGAAAAAGAAAGGAGACAGAUUGACUUAUAAUGUAUGUUAAUGGUGUUUGUUAACAGUUUUUGUAAAAAGUGGAUAGAAACCAAACUUGACAGAAGGGUGGAUAGUUAAAGGACCAUAUCCGUUAAGUGUAUAGUUAAGGGACUAUUUUAGACCUACUGUGAUAGUUUAGGGACCAUUUAUGUCAUUUUCUCACCGAAAUUACAUGCUAAAUAUUUUAGAUGAGUUUUAGGGAUUCCUGUGUCAUCUAAAUUACUUGAGAUGGUGUUGAAUCAUAUGUAAAUUGAGUCAAGAGAAAUAAGUAAGAAUUUUACCGGUUAAUAAAAUAGUUGGUGGAUUUGAGAUCAUGAAUGAAUUCAAUAGGAAAAACUCUAGUAUUGGCAGAGUGAGUGAUUUCAAAAAGUUAUUAUGUGAUAAAAGGGUUAUGUGAUGAUCAGUGGGAAGGUGAAAUAACUCUUAAUGGAGUAGUUGACAGCAAAAUGAGGUGAGUGACUUGGGGAUAGAGUAUAUUUCAAAAAGUUAUUAUGUGAUAAAAGGGUUAUGUGAUGAUCAGUGGGAAGGUGAAAUAACUCUUAAUGGAGUAGUUGACAGCAGAAUGAGGGGAGUGACUUGGGGAUAGAGUAUAUGAAUUCAAGGGGUUAGUUUUUUAUCGCAAGGGAGGUGGUUAAAGGAUCAAGGGUAUAUAGUUCAAGUCUUAUGUUUUUUUUUAAUUAUUUACAUGUUAUAAUUAUGUGGUGGAUUCAGAUCGACCGAUGAUGUCUACCAAUACGUAUUGUUUGUACUGAUAUUAUUUUUGCUAUGUCACUUGACAAGUUUGGUUGCAGGAUUUGUGAUAUUUCUUAAGUGAAGUCGAUGUUGAUCUCUGACAAGUUCUAUUCUUCUUUCCUUAUGGUGGAAAUUCUGUGUUAUUUUUCAUGAUUUGUACUCUCUUAGAAGUUCUUGUACCCUGCUUAGACUACUUACUAGGAAGGGUUCCAUGUGCUUUUCAAAGACGGGGUAUUUUAUCACGGUUGACAAUUGAUUUUUAUAAUUAAAUAAGGUGAUAUAUUCAAUUUUGUUUAUUUUCGUGAUUUUUCAGUUCUAACUUGGUGAUAAGGGUUCUCCUAUCUAGGUGUUAGAGUAGGCGUCCGUACAACCCAAUUAUUUAAUUUGAAUCGUGACAAUUUGAUAUCAUAACAUUAAACACGGAUCUCUCAAUAUAAAAUCAAAUAUCGAAUAUAGUCCUGAUGAUUGAUAUGUUGACGUCCACAUUUAAUUUUCAGAAAACUAUGAAACAUUUAGGAAAUUAUUCCAAAAAUGAAAAAAUCAUAUACUUCCCAUCAAGUCCUUAACUAAUCCUCUUUUUAGUUUUUCUUUAGGAUUUAUGCAAAUACGUUUGCUUGAAUUUUCUACUAUGCAUGAUUGACUUUUUGUUUGAGCAAUUGCUACGAACUCCCUUGGAAUUGAUUUUUAUUUUAAUAGUAUUAACUACAAGAGGUAUUAAAUAAAAUUAUUUUGAUCUCAUUCUCAAAUGAGUAAUUAAAGACUAAUGAUUAUAUGUCUUUGGAUAAAUAAGAUAACUUUGUAUUUUGAUAAAAACAUUUACCAAACUCAUGAAGAACUAAAGUUAAUUGUUAACUAGUUGUUAUAUUUGUGUACAGGUGUAUGCACUAAUGCAAUAUCCAUCACUUUUAUGAUAACUUUCAAUUUUUUUUAAAAUUCUGAAUUUUAAUUAUUUAGAAUUGAUCAGUUAUUAUGUGUGUUUAUUUUUUGAAUUUGAAUCUUACUCAUUCAAAAUUCAAUUAUUAAGUCUGUCUAUUUUAUUCCUACAAUCUUUUUUAUGUGUUUAAAAACGUUUGAAUAAUUAAGAUUUAUGAUAAAAAAAAAUUAAUAUCGUGAAGAAUCAAUUCAUUUAAAGAUUUUAGUAAAGAUGGCAUUUUAUUAUUAUUCUAUCAUUUUCACCACUAAUCAUUGUUGCCUUAAAUAUUAUUGACUACCCCAGUCACAACUACACCACCACAAUCAAUUGUCCUCAUCACUAGUCAUUAUUUAUAUUCAUCAUUAUCAACUACUAUCACCAUUAGCACUAAUCAUUAUCGACAAUCGUUCAACAAUUAUCACUACACCAACCACCAUUAACUAUCAUUAUCAUUCACUAUAAGUAUUAGUCACUAGGGAAUUUGACCGCGCUUCGCGCGAUGGUUAAAAUUUUUAAGGGUUAAUUUUACAAAACUCACCUCCCUGUGGUUUACAAUAUUACGUAUACCUUCCAUAUUUUGAUUUUUUUGUAAUCAUUCUUUAAAUUUAUUUAAAAUAAUUAUAAAUUAAUUAUAAUUUGACAACUUGUCCUUUUGUAUUAAUUUAUUCAUAUUAAUCCACAUUAUUUUAAAUAAUUACUUAUAUAAUGAAAGUUUUAAAAGUAAAUCAUUAUGAAGAAGUGUGAUUCUUUGUUUGGUAAAAAUGGACACGUUUAUAUAUAUUUAUAUAAUAUAUAUUAUAGUAUAAAUUUAUUUGUGUUGAUUUAUUUUUAAAGUAUUUAUUAAAUAAGUCAUGUUUGUAAUAAUAUGCAUUAAUAUGAAGAAAUUAAUACAAAGAAGGACAAAUUUUUCAAGUUAUAAUUGAUUUAUAUUUAUUUUAAAUAAUUUUAAAGAAUGGUUACAAAAAAAAAAAAAUAAGGGAUGUAGGUGUAAUAUCGUAAACUACAGAAAAGGUGAGUGUUAUAGAGCGAAACCAAAAGGAAUUAUCCCAUUUUUUUAAUUAAAAAGUCAAUUUGUGAUCUCUAUCAAUGUCAUGUCUUCUUUUUCUCCAGUUAUAACAUCAUUAAUUGUUCAAAUUAUAUUAUAUUAUCAAGAUAAAUACCAACAUUGUUUUGUUAAACUUAACAAUUAAUAUUGAACAAAAGAGAGAAUUUAUUCUUAAGCAAUAAGCUAUAAUAUAUAUAUAUAUAUCUUUUAAUUAAUUUCAUUUCUAUUGUACAUAGCAAAUAUUUCGUAGUAAAUUAUGAUACACAAUACAUACAAGCAUUUAUUGGCAAUUGAUCCUUUUAAUUUCUUUUAAACUAAAAAAAAAUUAAAAAUAUUUUCUAUAAUUGUUAUUAAAUAAAAUAAAAAUGAAAUGAAAAUUAAAAAGAAACUAAAACAACCAUUGAGUUAAAAAAUAUUGGCAUAUACUAUUUCCCUAUCGUUUAUCCUUCGCUAAUGCCUCUACUAUUAUUUUGUUCUUUUUUCCUCCCUAUAUGUUGUACAAGUAAAAGAACACAUAAACACAAAGAAGGUAAAAGAAUUGUAUACAAACUACAAAGUAGUAGUGAUUCAACUUCAUUUAAUUGAAGUUUGCUGAUAAUUAUUUUUAACAAUUGAAGAAAUGAAACAAAUCCAUUACUGAUUUAAAUGUUAAGUAUUGAUGUUUAUUACUCAAUAAAAACUAAUAUCCUCCUCAUAAUUAAGACUCAUAAAUAUGUUAUAAUAAAAGUUGUAAUUUCAUAAUUAUAUAUAAUAAAAAUAUUAUAAAAAGGAUAAAGAAAUAAAAAUAUUAUAAUACCAGUAUUUCGAUAUUUUUAACAAUUAUAAAAAAUUAAAUAUGAGUAAAAGAAUCAUAUACCUUUUUAUAGAUUUAUUACAACAAAAUGUUGGAAAAUUUUGUCAAUUGAAGAACAAAACAAGAAAAUAAGAGUAGCAUAAGUCUUUCAACCUUUUGUUCUUAUUUAAACGACGUUUAUAUAUUUAUAUUAGUAAUUGUAAUUUAAUUUUAUAUAUAUAUUAAAAGGUUAUUUCGUGUUGUUUGGUUAUAAUAUUAUUAUAUCUUUUAUUCUAUUACUUUCUAUUGACAUUUUUAUGAGGAAAAAUAAGAGACCAAAUUAUAUAAAUAGAAAUUAUACAACAAAUAACUCUCAUACUUCAAAAAUUCAGUUACUCUUACUUCGAAUUAAAUUUUAAGUUCAUAUACAAAAUAUACUUAAGAGACAUCAUGAAAUACACAAGAAAGAAUGAAAGAAAGAAAAAAUAAUACAAUACACAUAUUAUUGCGACUUUAAUCAUUAAAAUUAAAAGUAGAAGGGGAAAAAAAUCAACACAUAAUUGUGUAAGAUCUUGUCAUAACCACUUCACAAGCAUAUCAAUAUUCAAAGCUUUCUUCUUCUUUUUCAAGUCAAACAAAGGAAGAGAGGCAUUACUCUUGUUUGAUAUUCACUUCACAAAUCUAUCACUAUUCAAAAGCUUUCUUCGUAUAAAAAUUAAAUUUAAGAGGCAUCAUAGAUAUAUAUAAGAAUAAAAAGAGAGAGAAAAUAAAGAAAGAAAAAAAGAAAUAGUACAAUACACAUAUACAUUAAAAAAUAGAAGAGAAAAGAAAUCAAUACAUAAUUAUCUAAGCUCUUGUCAAUAUUCAAUUCACUUCACAAGCCGAUCACUAUUCAAGAGCCUUCUUUUUUUUCUAUUAUUUUUUUAAGCCAAAUAAAAGCAUGAAUAUAAUACUAUGGUGAUAAUGAAGGGUAACUUUGGAUAAAAUAUCAUGAAACAAAAAAUAUGAAUUCAUAUAGAAAAUAAUGGAGGAAUACGGUUUCAUAUUUAAUAUUUAAAGGUUAUGAAUAUGAAAAGUUGAAAAUUAUGAGAGUUAUGAAUAUAUGCACAUUAUAUCUAAUAAAGAAGAUAUAUUAUGGUGGAAGAUGAAAAGUUGAGUACUUGAGUCUUGAAUAUAAAGACUUUAUGUGAUAUUAAAAAUAAAACAAAUAAUUAAAUGAAGAAAAAUGGCCAAAAAAUAGAGAAAAAAAAGAGAAAUAUGAAUGGAGGUCAUAUAGAGGUGUCACAUCACCUUGUCUAUGUUUCUCCUUUAUGAAUUUAGUAGGAAAAACUCUAGUAUUGACAGAGUGAGUGAUUUCAAAAAGUUAUUAUGUGAUAAAAGGGUUAUGUGAUGAUCAGUGGGAAGGUGAAAUAACUCUUAAUGGAGUAGUUGACAGCAAAAUGAGGUGAGUGACUUGGGGAUAGAGUGUAUGAAUUCAAGGGGUUAGUUUUUUUAUCGCAAGAGAGGUGGUUAAAGGAUCAAGGGUAUAUAGUUCAAGGCUUAUGCUUUUUUUUAUUAUUUACAUGUUAUAAUUAUGUGGUGGAUUCAGAUUGACCGAUAAUGCCUACCAAUACGUAUUGUUUGUACUGAUAUUAUUUUUGCUAUGUCACUUGACAAGUUUGAUUGCAGGAUUUGUGAUAUUUCUUAGGUGAAGUCGAUGUUGAUCUCUAACAAGUUCUAUUCUUCUUUCCUUAUGGUGGGAAUUGUGUGUUAUUUUUCAUGAUUUAUACUCUCUUAGAAGUUUUUGUACCUGCUUAGAUUACUUACUAGGAAGGGUUCCAUGUGUUUUUCAAAGACGGGGUAUUUUAUCAAGGUUGACAAUUGAUUUUUAUAAAACAUUUUACUAAAUGACUUAUAGUAUUGAAAAAGCACGGUGAAAUUACUAUAUUUAAUGUUAUUUUUUAAAUUAAUCUAUUAAAAAUGAUAUAUUUUCAUAUUUAAAAUAACCUAUAGCUUAAUACUUAUUAUUUUACUUCUCAUUAAUUGUAUGACCACAAAAAUAGCAUGAUAUAGAUUUAAAUUGCAUACUGAAUUAACAAUCGCUACAUAAAUUAAAAGGGAGAAAGUGACUAACCACUAUAAUAAAAGAGUCAUUUGGUGGCAAUUUUUUUUAACGAUAAUAUUAAUUUUAUAAAAGCAUUUAUCAAUAAUUAAAUUAAUACUAUUACAUACUAGAUCAAAAAAUCGCCGCAUAAAUUAUAAAUAAGAGAAUGAAUAAUAGAACCACGGGUCCAUCAUCGAUCUUAUUAAAAUUUGGAUAAAUUACGUAAUUACACAAUUUAUGAUAAUAUCAUCUCUAAAAAUUCCUACCAUUUAAAUUAAUUAUGAAAAUCUCAUUUUUUCUUCUCUCUCUUAACAUUCAAAUACAUUACUUCACCUCUAUCAUAUACAUUACAAAUUUAUUUGUGUACAUGUAUAUGGUACAAAUGUUAUAGAUGAUACAUAACCUCAAUUACUUCACCUCUAUCAGAUACAUUACAAUUUUAUUUGUUUACAAUGUAUUUGGUACAAAUGGUAUUGUUGAUGCAUAACUUCAAUUAUUUCAAACCUAAAUCAGUAUUUAUCUGGUUUAUGAUUAUGAAUAUGAUACAUAACUUAUAUAUCUGAUACAUAACUUAUGUAUCAUUUUCUAUGUAUCGGACCAAAGAGCAAUGCGUCCGCAAGUUCUGAAAACCCCAAAACUAUUGUAAUUUGAACUUAGAGUAAUCCUUCAAAAAACUUUGUUGAUUGUUAACAAGUAUACAAAUCUUGUUCCUGCUACAAUAUUCUUUCAAUUUAUUUUGUGUACAUUGACCUAGUCGCCUCCCUAUAAAAGAAAAUAUUUCUAGAUCUUUAACGUUUAGACCAAGUCGGUAAGGAAUGAAGAAUUAUACUUGGACUUUGUGUCACCCCCGACCCUACACCCUGGGCGCGACUGACACUCGAGAAUCAUUGUUGUCCCCAAGCGGACCCUUGGCCUGGCUUACUUACUCAGCGGAAGACUUAAACAUAAGAAAUAUAACUCAUGCAAUAACUUAAGAGAUAAUAACUUAGACAAAAUGGCAACUCAAGUCUUAAACGUAUACAAUUGAAAUGAAUAAGACUAAAGAACUAUAACUAUCUAUCUAUGAAGCCUCUAAAACAAAGAGGGAUGUGGGGAGAAGACCCCCGAUCAUCCUAACAAUGAAAUACUGAAAGCAAAUGAUAAAAGGACCCCUCUGAAAAGCUAGGAGGCUCACCAACAGACUCUGAGUGCUCAACUGGAUCAACGAGGUGCUGGGUGAUGAUCCUGGUUACCUGUGUCUGCAUCAUAAGACGAUGCAUGCCAAAUGGCAUCAGUACAUUGAAUGUACUAGUAUGCGAGGGCAAAACUAAACAUAACAUAAGCUUGAACGAAUCUGAAAGAAACACUUACCUUGGCUUUACUCAACUCAUGAAUAACUUAACUCAAUAUAAGCAAUAAAACACAUGAAAUAUAUGGAGAACUUUAUAAAACAGUAGAAAGCAACUUAGUUCGUUAAAGAAUAUGCAAUAACAAACUUAACUUUACUCAUAUAAUAAAGUAAUAUAGUUUAUGUGGGAGUUUCUCUAACCGACAACCACCACUAUGAGCCUAAGUGGUGAUACAACGUUUUGCCCACGCUACCAGAACUAUCCUAUACUUUGUCGUCAUAUAGGACGCCUUAACUAAGUGGAUCCACUAGUGUAUGCUUAAAAGCACUUAAGGAAUCAUGAAGACAAUCAGGAGGUUGGCAAUGCAAUCCGUUGCGCGGGGAUGCGAUUCGCCAAGAUGGGGCAAAUCUUUCCCAUAUCUCUAAAGGGGCCCUUGGGCCACUUGACUGUAAGGAAAAAGGGAAUGAUGACCUUGGGUUGUACCUAGUCUGAAACCAAGUGGAUUUAUUUUUUGUCCCAUAAUCCCCCGCUAUUAUACAUAUCACGAUACGUCAUAGCUGUAAAUUUUUUGUAUGAUCCUUUACUGCCCAUGCAUAAUGGCUACAUGGUUUAUGGAGACUUGAGUUAUUAUGAACUAGUGUCCCCAUAUCGGUGCUCAAUACUACUCCCAAAAUGUACUUAGCUCAUAUGUUUUUAGAACAAAACUUAUUUCUUUGGUUUGAGAUAAUUACUCAAAACUUAGCUUAAAAGCUCUCUUGGAAUCGAUGUUCCCUUUCUUGCUCAAAUGUGAAAACAUUUCUAACUUUUAGGAAUACUUAGUUCCCGUAUAAUCUUUGAAGAAAUGAACUUUACUCUUAACUCUUUAGUCAACUCGAAACUUAAGUCUUAAGACAAAGUUAAAACGUUUGCGAAAAACUUUUGAAAACUUUAUGAACUUCUCUUGACUUGCUUCUUAACAUCUAAAAUUGACUCUUCACUUUACUUGAAUUGAAUUAUGGAUUCAAGGUUCAUGAUCUCAUGUUUAUGGAUGAUUUCAUGAUGUUUAGACGUACCUUAGAGUGUUGGAAUCAACUAGAAAAUAUAGGUACGUUGCUAAGGAACUAGUACGGAAAGAAGGAGGGAAUUGGGAUGAACUGGCGUCCUUGGUGCUCUGAGAGGCGUGGGGCGCCAGAGCCCAAAGUUCAGAGACCCCUGCUUGGGGCUCUGAGAGGGGCGACGCCCCAGAGGCAAAAUAUCAGAGGGUUCUGCUUGGGGCUAUGAGAGGGAUGACACCUCAGGCCCCUAUUUCGACUUGGUUCUUUCCCCCAAACACUUAGAAACAACUAAUUCAUCAAUAUAUGCAAUAUUUAACUCGAAUUCACACCUAAAUACAUGAAUCAAUCUCAAGAAACUUCAACAACAAGAACCUACAAGAUUCCAAUUGAAUUAUCAUCAAGAACUCAUAGGAUUUACUUUCAAAUCAAUAUAACUUUGCUAAAUUGAAUCCUGAUUGGCGCGUGGGUGAACUACCCAACGCUAUGUGAUCUCACAUACCUCAUAGGAUUGAAUCCUUGGCGAAAUCAACAGCCAAACUCGAACGUUCUUGACGAUUCUUGAUUUCUCCUCUCCUUUCUACUCUUUUCUCUUUUCUCCAAGCCCUAGCGUGAACUUCAACUUUUCUAAACUGACUAAAAUCUGAUUUUACCCCAAUUAAACUCCUAAAAAUGAAUUAAAAUAAUUGGGUAAGAAAAAGACUAAAAUACCGUUCCAAAAUCCGGAUUAGACUUUCCUUAUUUGAACAACCCAACUUCAAAUGGGCAUAUCUCACUCAUACGAACUUGGAAUCGCGCAAACUCAGCGGCGUUGGAAAGAUUAUUCCAAGAUUUUUUCUACAGUAACUGGAAGUACACCUAACGCAUGCUGAGCUACAAGUUAUGGUCAUUUGAUGUUGACUAAAAACUCAACUUAACAUACUUAAAAAAUUUCCAGAUUUCAAUUCUUUCCAAAAGUGACUAUUUCCAAUUCUUAGCUUCUUCCUAGUUAUUUCAAUUUGCGAGAUGUUACACUUUGUUUUGAGGAAAUAACUGUAUUUUCCUUAUACUUGUUUAUUCUUUAAGGUCAAAGUCCUGGAUAAUAAAGAAAAGUGGUAUGCUAUAUUUUUAGUAGGGGUGUACAUGACCGGAUUGGUUUGGAUUUUUCAACUAUCAAACCAAAUCAUUUGUGUAAAAAUUUUAAAUUUAUAAACCAAACCAAACUAACAAAACUCGCGUUUUUUUUUUUUGAGUUUUUCAACCUCGGAUUGGUUCGAGUUUUUCAAAUAUUAAACCAAACCAUUUGUGUCAAAUUUUUUAAUUCUUAAAUCAAACCAAACUAAUAAACCUCGGGUUUUUUCAGGUUUAUGGAUUUUUCCAGUAAAGUAUUCAUACAAACAUAUAAUUAACUUGUGCUCCAAAUAUUUCUUUAUAAGUCCAACCAGAAUACAAUUAUCUAAGGUGUUUCUUAAGAAAAUAACACAAAAUAUGAGAUGAGUGAUGACACUAAAAUAUUCAAUAGAAAAUAAUAAUGAAAUCAUAUAAAAUAAAUAUUGCAAAUUGAUAAGUCAUAAUGAAAAUGAUCAUAAUUUAAAAGUACUAAAUCAUGCAAAAAUAAGUCUAAUAAGUAUUAAUUACAUGAUUAAACAUUAAAAAAAUAGAUUAUGUAUUUUAAAUGUCUAAACCAAUGUAAAACUAAAGAACAAAUAUUCAACAUUGUUGUCAUUCUUAGUGUUGAAUUAAUUUAUUUUAUAAGCAUUAGUAUUGAUUUAAUUUCAAAUUGAGCUUUAUUGGAGUUACUAAUAUCUAUGAACUAUAACCUUUAUUGGACCAUUCAAAAUUUUAAGUCUCAAAAAACUUGAAAAAAUAUGUUAAAACAUAAAAAUUACGAAAACGUAUAAGUAAUAUUUAAAAAUUACCAAAGUAAAUACUUUUAUAUAUUAAAUAAAUUUUAAAAAUUAUAUAUAUAUAAUGUCGGGUUGACUUUUUUUUUAGUUAAAACCAAACCAAUUCAAGUAUAGUCGGAUUUUUUUUUCAAUACCAAACCAAGUCAAACCAAACCAUUCAUCGAGGUUUUUUUCGAUCCAACAUGAUUUGUGAUUUGAUUCGAUUUUCGGUUCGAUUUUGUACACCCCUAAUUUUUAGGAUAUCUUAUUUACAUUAUGCACUUAGGGCCCGUUUGGAUUGACUUAAAAAAGUAACUUUUAAAUCAAAAAAAAAAAAGUCAAACUGAAAUGACUUUUAAGUCAAAAAAUAAAAAGUAGAGGGAGACCUGCUUUUUGAUUUUUGACUUAUUUUAAGUCAUUUUAAACUUAUUUUAAGUCACUCUUGACCUUGCCAAACACUUCUCAACUUAUUUUAAGUCAUUUUGACUUAUUUUAAGUUAUUUUUUAUAUUUGUCAAACAUUUCCAAAAGUCAAAAAUUGACUUUAAAAUAGAUUUGACCAAUUUUUAAAUUAAUCCAAACACCCUCUUAGUACAAGAUAGUAGAACUAAUAUAGAGAAUCUGGUUUCAGUAUUGAAGGUUGUACUAUUUGGUGUUUAGGCUGAAAAUCUUUUAAGACACUCUUCAACCCCCUCUAGUUUCCAAAUGAUGUACCAAAGCAACACUUAUUUUUUAAUAAAAAAUGAUUAAUUUAAUUAAACUCACCUUAGAAAUUAAAAUAGAAGAUUUUUAUUAAAGAUGACAUCAUUUUUAUAUUCAAGCUCAAGAUUUCUAAUUAAAAAUUAAAAAAAUUCGAAGUCUUUUAGAAUAAAUUUUGGAAGAAACUUUCUCCACUACCACUAUUAAUUAUCUGGAUCAUUCACAAAUGUACAAAACGUAAAAAUUCUAGAGCAAGAAAACAAAAAAAAACAAAGAAAAAGGAGGCAAGAAGAGUGUGGUAGGUAGCCAAAAAGAGAACGUGUCACAAAAAUGUGUUGCAAAAUUUUGUGAAUGUGUUCAAACGUGUCACAACAUGCAAUGCUACGUGUAUCCAAACUUUAGCCCCUCCAUUUCCCAUGCCAUAUAAAUGUCCUUAAUUUAUUUUUUCUUUUAUAGUAUAGUAUAAAAAAUCUACACCUCGCUACAAUAAUCGAUAGAAGUUAAGAUGGCUCAGAUUACAAUAGACCCACAAGGUGAGAAAAUUGAAUCUUUUGUACUGUUGAGUGGUCACAAGAUUCCUGCUAUUGGUUUGGGCACUUGGAGAGCUCAUAAUGCAAGGGAUUCUGUUUAUACUGCUAUUGUUGAGGUACUCUACCUCGUCCCAUUAUACAUAAUUAUAUUGUAUCGUAUUGGUAUGUCAAAGUAAUAUUGCGAAUUGAUUAUAUGUUGAUUUGUGUAGAUGAAGUAAAUUAAUAAUUUGAUUCAACUAGAUAAACAAGUAUUCAUUAGUGGUUGUUUAAUAUUGAGAAAAAAAAACUCGAUCAUAGUAAUUUGGUUUUAACUAUAAAAAAAAAACAAUUUGAACCAACUCAACUCGACGUUUCAUGUAUACAUUUUUAAAAAUAUUUUAUCAUACAUAAUAAUAUUUAUUGUAAUAUAAUUUAGGGAAAAGGGUCAAAUAUGCUCCUAAACUAUUCGAAAAGGUUUAGAUAUACCCCGUUUAAAGUUUGGCUCACUCGUGUCCUCGCCGUCCAACUUUUCGUCUACAUAUGCCCUUAUGGGCGUUAAAUGUCAAAUGGAAUUGCCACGUUAUUUUUACAUUACCACGUGGCAUUUAUAUUAAAGGAAAAAGGGUCAAAUAUACCCCUAAACUAUUCGAAAAGGUCUAGAUAUACCCCCUUUUAAAUAAACUACCCGACCCGUUUUCAACUAUUUUUUCGAUAAAUCCCGAAAAUGAGUAAUUGACUAAUAAAAAACAGGAAAAAUAUGAAGAAGAAAAAAAAUUAACGCCAAAAAUUCGCAAAUAAAUAUAGUAACCUUAAAUUCAACAAUUUCAACAAUUUUUUUAAAUUUUUAUUUUUUUCGAUAAAUCACGAAAAUGAGUAAUUGAUUAAUAAAAAAAUAUGAAAAUGACUUUAUGCUGAAUUUUUAGGUUAUAUUUUUCAUAUUUUUUAUUAAUCAAUUACUCAUUUUCGGGAUCUAUCAAAAAAAAAAAAUUGUUGAAAUCGUUGAAUUUAAGGUUACUAUAUUUAUUUGUGAAUUUUUGGCGUUAAUUUUAUUUAUUUUUUUCAUAUUUUUCCUAUUUUUUAUUAGUCAAUUACUCAUUUUCGGGAUUUACCGAAAUUUUAUUAUUGAAAACGGAUCGGGUAGUUUAUUUAAAAUGGGGUAUAUCUAGACCUUUUCAAAUAGUUUAGGGGUAUAUUUGACCCUUUUCCCUUUAAUAUAAAUGUCACGUGGUAAUGUAAAAAUGAUGUGGCAAUUCCAUUUGGCAUUUAACGCUCAUAAGGGCAUAUUUAGACGAAAAGUUGGACGGCGAGGGCACGAGUGAGCCAAACUUUAAACGGGGUAUAUCUAGACCUUUUAGAAUAGUUUAGGGACAUAUUUGACUCUUUUUAAUAUUUUUUGAACUUUUUCAUAAUUUUUUGUCUCUUUAACAUAUAUAAGUUCAGAUCAAACUUAAAAUUUUAAAUGAUUCAAUAAAUUUUAUAGCACAGAUAUAUUAGUAAUUUGAAUAAAAACUCAAAUCAGAAUCAAAAUCAAUAUUAAUAGUAACAAAAGAAAUUCAAUUCAGCAAGAAUGACAAUAAUAUUUUAGAUAGUGCAUUGUUUGGCCAAGAAAAAAAAGCACUUUAUUCGAAAUUUUCAAAGUUGAUGUUGGAGCGUGUGUUCGGUAUACUUUUUGCAAGUACUUUAUUAAAAAAAAAAAAAAAAAAAAAAAAAAACCACCCCACCCCAAAAAAAAAAAAAAAAAAAAAACCUAGCCACCUAGGACGAUUAACGGUAUGGUAUUUUCGAUUAAAAAAAAUUAUCUAUCAAAUUAAUUUGGUAUGAUUUGGUAUUUUUAAAUCUCAUUUUGAAAUUUUGUGUUACUCUGAAUUGAUAAUUACAGUUUGUUCGAUUUCGACUUACAUAUACUCAUAUAAUAAAUAAAGAAGUAUGACUUUGAUUUUUCGCCUCAUUCAUUCUGGUGCGUGUGAGUCGCUUAGAAUGUUUUGUGAUCUUCAUUCCCCAAGGCUUGCCCUUUGGAGCAUGAAACCCAACCUUUUAGCAAAUUUGAUUAUUUAAAACUGUUUUUUAUGAGAAUUUAUGCUCUUGACUAUGGCUGCAGGCUGGCUACAGGCAUGUUGACACAGCGGCAGAGUAUGGAGUCCAAGAUGAGGUUCUUUUUCAUUUGUGAUUAUCCCUUUUAAGUUGCUGAGUUAUAUCAAUGUAGUAUUAUUAUGUACAAGUUGUUCAGCAUACACAUACGAACGAGGCUUAGUUUUCUAAACAGAAUUAUUGUGCACAUAGUUUAAAGUUUUCUAUAACAGAAUUGGUAAAUAGAUGUCAUUUUAGACAUUUAGGAUCGACGUGCAAGUAUGAAAUUUCAACAGUGUUUUGUUCUUUACAUAGGUUGGUCAUGGAAUUAAGGCAGCUAUACAUGCAGGAGUAGAGAGAUCAGCCUUAUUUGUCACAUCUAAACUAUGGUAGUAUGAUGAACUUAUUUUAAAUCUCUAGGAUUUUUUUAUACAUCCAACAUGCAAUUAAACGAAUUAAGGAGAUUUUAUUGAUUGUUUUAGGUGUUAUGAUUUGUCACUGGAGAGAGUUCGACCUGCAUUGAUGAAGACACUCAAUGAAUUGCAACUGGAUUAUCUUGAUCUUUACCUGGUACUUCCUUCACACGGCCUUUUUCGCGGUAUUUAGUUGGUAGUUUUGAAAUCUAAUAGGUGAAUCUGCACAUUUUGUGUUGAAGAUUCAUUGGCCCUUUCGUCUCAAGGACGGAGCAAGUAGACCUCCAAAAGCAGGGGAAGUGUCUGACUUCGAUUGGGAAGGCGUUUGGAGAGAAAUGGAGAAGUUAGUGAAAGAUAAACUCGUACGAGAUAUUGGAGUAUGUAAUUUCACUGUCAAGAAACUUAAUAAGCUUUUAGAUAUUGCACAGAUAAUGCCUUCUGUAUGCCAGGUUAGUUGAAUACUAAUUCUCGUCUUUCAAUUAAUCGUAUCGAUGUCCUCCUCUUCUUCCUUUUUUCGUAUUUAUGGGUAAUGUUAUGUACUGAUCAGAUGGAGAUGCACCCCGGAUGGAGAAAUGAAAAAAUGUUGGAAGCGUGCAAGAAAAAUAAUAUUCACGUCACAGUAAGUAACUGAAACUUUAUGCAUAUAACAUAUAUCAACAAUGAUUUGGUAGCUAACAAGUUUCAAAUGUAAUGAACUUGAGGUACUACUAAUACCAAACUUUAUGCAUAUAAUAUAUAUCAACAAUGAUUUGGUAGCUAACAAAUUUCAAAUGUAAUGAACUUGAGGUACUACUAAUACCUCGCGGAGUUGAGACUUGUAUAUAUUUAUUUAUGCCUGAGGUCGAUUGCAUCUACUUUUUUCAGGCGUAUUCACCUUUGGGUUCGCGAGAAGUUGAUCUAAUUCAUCAUCCUGUAGUAGAGAGAGUAGCAGGAAAGCUAAAUAAAACGCCGGGGCAGGUGCUAGUGAGGUGGGCUAUACAAAGAGGAACGAGUACAAUUCCGAAAUCUGAUCACUCAGAAAGAAUAAAAGAGAACAUUAAAGUGUUUUCAUGGGAAAUUCCAGAGCUAGAUUUCCAAGCUAUUUGUGAUAUUCCAGAUCAGGUACUUCUCUCUUGUCAUUUAAAAGUUCGUUAUUACCAGUAGUUCCUACGUAAACAAUAAUUGAAUUCUCAUUAUUUGUUUGUGCAGAUGCGAGUAUUAGAUGGGGAGGAAUUGUUUGUGAACAAGAGUGAUGGGCCUUACAAGAGCGUAACAGAUAUUUGGGACCACGAAAUCUAAUUUAUGUUUUUUCUUCAGUUUGCCUUGUUUUAGUAUAUAUAUAUAUUUCUUUCGCCCUUAUUAGCUUUUAAAAUAAAAUAAGAUGAAAUGUUGUAGUUGGAUGAUAAUAGUGGGUAAUAGUACUAUAUUAAUCUUUGAAUAUAUUAAAUUUAAUGCUUUAGGAAAUAUAUGUAUUAGAUAUUGAAUAAUUAUAUUUAAUAUCAAAGGUAAAAUAGACACAAAAUGGUAAAUUAUAUCUUGAAUUUUCAAACUGAAUAAGUAUUUUGAUAGAAAAUUAUUUUUAGUAUAGUUGAUAAGUAAAGAUAGACCGAGCUUCAUUUUAGCAUGCAGUUCCGUUUCUUCAGUUUUAUGCCUCAUGGCGUAGUUGUGUCGAUAUAUCCUAGUAUUAAGUUGGAGGUGGCAAAAUUAGUUUAUUAAAAUGUUAGUAUUAAUUUGUACAUAUAUUAGUUGAGUCUAGUAAAAUUGGGUCAAUAUUCAACUCAAAUUGAUUUUAUAAUCAUGAUACACACUAUUCCCAAUUUUCAUCUUUUGAAUUGCAUCACUCUUUAAAAAUAGAGUAAAAUAAAAAUAGCGUAAAAUAGAAUUUUAACUUCUUAACUAUUUUCCUAAUUUAAUUAUUCAUUCACUCCAAUUAGCUCACUUCCUCUCCUAAUUCUUUGUUCAUCACUUAAUUCUGUCUCCUUCUUCCCUUACUCCCAUCUGAAAAUUGAAUGGAAAAUGGAGCAUUACAAAUCAGAUUCUUUGAGUUUUAUAACUAAUUCAAUUAUUAUUUGAGUCAUGCUAGGGCUGUUCAAAACCGAAUCAAAAUCAAUAACCUGAACCGAAAAAAAGUUAUUGAUUUAUCAAUAUUGGGUUAUUGGUUUAGCGGUUUUGAUAACGGUUUUGAUUUAUUUUUUUGUUAUCGGGUUAUCGGUUCUUAAUGGUUUGAGGUUUUUUUUUAACGGGUUAACCGAUAACCCGAUAGUAAAUCAAAAUAAUUAUAUUUAUACCAUUUUGUGUAUAAAGUCAUUGACUUAGAGUUUGGUUUCCUACUUUUAUUUCUGGUUGUCUCAAACACUUGGUUAUUCUACAAUGUAAAAAUGUUUGCUUCUGAGCAAGAUGUAACUUGUGAACUCAUGUGCAUGGUUUCAUUGGUUUGUCACCUUGUUUCUAAGUGAUUUUCAAUGUUUUUUUAUGUCAAAUCUUAACGGUUGAACCAAUAACCAAACCGAUAACAAUCAAAAAUUGAUAAACCAAUAACCUAUUAGUCAAUCUCUUAAUGGUUCUAUAACGGUUUAGCAUCUCUACAAACCGAUAACCAAUAAGCCAAACCGAUAAACUUCAAAACCGAACUAAACCGACCGAUACGCAGCCCUAAGUCAUGCUCUUCAUUUUCAUCCCUCAAAAAUCUCAACCAAUCUUCACAAUAAUGACAAGAUUAACGCAUCACUACGUAAGAAAUGAUUUUUAGUGGUGAUUAAUUAAUGGUAAUAACUUAAUUGUCACUAAAUAUUUAUUUUUAGCAGUAAUUAGCACUCUCUAUAUAUGUCCCUAAAGUUUUUAGCGACAUUGAUUCUAAUGACACUUAACUAAUGCCGAUAAAAACUUUAACACUUUUUAUUAAUAUGUAUAUUUAUUGCCGUUAUAGAGUUGUUUUUGUUAUAGUAACGGUGAAAUCAUAUAUGAAUCUCUACAACACACCAUUGUAUGUUUCUAGGCAUUUAAUUACCUAAGCAUGUACGAAUAAUAUAUCUGCUGUGUAUCUAAGAAUGUAUUUGCAUUUAUGUAUCUGUCAUGUAUAUGAGAUGUACAUAUCAUGUAGUUGAACAUAUCUGAGUUGCACCAUAUUGUAUCUUGUAUGUAUCUGUUAAUGUAUUUAAGUUGUAUAUGUGUAUCUAAUAUGUACAUGAACUCAUGUAUCUAAAUACGUAUCGCGUAUUAGACUCAUAGCAUCAUAAAUAGUGUAAGAAAUUUAAGUUCUUGAAUAUCUCAACAAUACAGUGAUACUUGUCAUUGUGUAUUUCAUAAAGCUUGAAAUUCGAACUAACAUAAACAAUUAUUGGAGAAAAAAUUCAGGGAAAAAGUAGUGAAUUUUUUUUAGAGAAAAUUAUUCGUAUAAGCAAACAUAUAAUAGUUAAUUACUUAACAUAGCUAUAGUUUGCCUUAAUUACAAUUUGCGGCCUACUUUUAGCUAUAAUUACGCAGCUCAGCUUUUUAGUUUUGUAUAAUUCGCACGUUUGUAUAAUUCGAAAUUUGUAUAAUAUAAUUUGUAUAACUUUUGUAUAAUUCGUUAUUUGUAUAAUAUAAUUUGUAUAACGGUUUACACUUCUGAUGUUUGUAAUUGUAUAAAUUCGUUAUUUUGAGUUUAUACAAAAAUAACUGAAUUAUACAAAUGUACCCGCGAAUUAUAGAAACAUGCGAAUUUAUACAAAUUCACGAAUUAUACAAACGAGAUAGCUUAAAUUGUAGCUACAAUAUAAAUAUGCAAACUAUAGCUAUGGAGCAUAAUUAAGUUUAUUAAAGUGGCUAUUUGCGAAAGUUCCUCUUUUUUUUAUGCACGGAAAAAAUGGGAAGAAUUUUGAAUUUUUUAUUUUUUAUGGAUCAGGGAUACAACAGAUACUCUUGAAUCAUUAUACGCAUGAUUUGCUCCUAAAUUAAUGUCUUUCGAUUACAUUUCAUAUUUAAAUACACAUAAUUAGAUAUAUCUGAUUAACAUAUAUUCGAAAUAUAUGUAUUUGAAUAGCAUGAGAAAUUUACUAAAUUUACAGCUAGUGGAGCAGUGGUUCACAUAGGAUGGUUCCCUAGUGGAAAUAUACUAAGUUUACUAGUUGACAAGAGAUUGAAAAAGGAAAUAUAAAAAUAUGACAUUUGGAAUUUGAAAAUGGUAGUAUAACACACUACACAUCCCUCUUGGCAAAAGCGUAAUGUUUAUGAUUUUUUUAUAUUCACAUGUAAAUGAUUUUUUGGAGAUCGAUUAAAUAGGCUUCAAAGCCCCUUAAUGACCCCCUUUUUUUAAUCUCGUUGACAUAGAUUAUAAAAAGGGAAAAUCAGCAAAUUAGUCGCAAUCCCUAACGUAAUUAGUAAAAACAUCUACACUUUAAAAUAAUUAUUAAAAAUGUUAAAAUGUCAAUAUUUAAGAAAAUGAUUUGUAUCCUAAUAUAACUAUUUUCCUUUCCUUUUAUUUCUCAAAACAAUCUCAUAUUGGAUCAAUUUUUACACCACUAACCAGUAAAAAAAGAAAAAAAUAUUUUUAUUAUCCAUUACCCUUCUUUCUAGGUUUUAACUCAAGUCAAUAUUCUCUCUCUCUUCACGUUUUCCCAUUUUUUCUCUCAUUCAUUGUUCAAGAAAAAUUAACUCUUCCAUUUUCUCCCAAUUUGUUCAAGAAAUCUAUCAAUUAAUUCAAGAAAUCUCUCAAUUGAUAAAGGUAAUUUCGAAGUCAUCAAAUAUUUUGUGAGUUUUCUUCUGAUUUUGUUUUCAUAUUCACUAAAUAUUUUUGUAUUUCGGAUUUUAUGUAUUUCUGAUUUUCUGUCCUCUUUUCGAUUUUUUUGUGAGUUUGUUCACAUAUUUGAGAUUCAGUAGAUUGUAGUAAUCUACAUUAGCAUUCAUACAUCAUAUAUUGUUUGCUUUUUUAUACAUUCAUAUUUAAUAAUUUCAAUUUUUCCUUAUAGGGUUACUAAUGCACAAGUGAAUACGGAUUCAAAUUUGAAUUUGGUGAAGACAAAAUCGAAAAAAAAAGAAAAUAGCAGAAGAAGAAGAAGAAGAAAGAGAGAGUCAAGGUUGCAAAAUUGUAUUCACAACAGAAUUGUAUUUAUAUUAAUUUUUGUUUGUUAAUUGUUUUUUUUACUCAACAUUUGUAAGAAAUACAUUUUUUUGUCAUGAAAUACAAAUUUUGAUUGUAUUAAGAUUGUAAAUUUGUAUGUUUUGAUGAUUGAAAUACAAAUUUGUUGGAAUUUUAAGAAAGAAUAUACGUUUUUGAAAAAUAUACAAAACCAAUGUGGUAUCCUUUCUGAAUGAACACAGAUUACAUAAGUAUAUAUGGAUACAAAUAUUUUAUUUAUAUUUUUAUUUGUGGAUACAAAUAUCAUUCUAAAUAACUACAAAUCUUUGGUAUACCUAUUAGAAUGAAUACAAACUAAUAAAGAACUACAAAUGUCAUUAUACAAACUCAAACAUGAAAACCAUAAUGAAUACAAAUACACAUAUCAUCAUAUUGGAAUGAAUGCAAUCAAUUACUUUUGAAAUUGUAACUGAUGAGAAUUUUAAGUGAUAUGUUCCUUUUUAAAUAAUAUUUUCUCCCAUGAUUUACUCAUUUCUGUUAUUAAAUAAUUGUAUUCUUUCAACUCAAACAAAUAGAAAAAUACAUAAAUCAGAAGAAUAACAAACUAAAAUAUUGACAUUUUUAAUAAAUAUUGAAAAUGUUGAUAAGAGGUCCCAUUAAAUGCUGAAAUAAUGACAUUUUGAAAAUUUUCCCUUAUAAAAACUCCAUUGCAAUUUGCAGCAGACAUGUGCACCAAAUCCAACCUCCCCCACACCCACCUUUAUAAUUUUUGUUCAUGAUUGCAAAUAAAAUGAUUGUAAUUAAACAAAACUAACUAAACUUCAACCAUACAUAACUCAAAGUUCAGAUAAAUUGAGAAGAUCAAUAAUUAUUUCCUGGAGAAAAAAUGCACCAACUUCUUUACUCAUGCAACUUUAAACAUUUUUGUAUAAAGAAGACUAAAAUUUGAUUGACUGAAUCAAGCUUUGGAGAACGCAGGCAGUCUGUACAAGAUUGGGGUCUAAAGUCAAAUUUCGUAUUGAGAUCUUAUUUUUUUUAGUUCAUAUAUAUAAAUUGAAUAAUAAUAACCUACACAAUGUGAUCCUAUAAAUGAGGUUUGGAAAGGUAGGAUAUAUAUUAUUAUUAUAUUAUGGACAUUAUGAAGUAGAGUUGUUGGCAAAAAACAUCCUUAAAUUAUAGAGUAAAUUUUAGGUUUAGCAAACAUAAAAAUCAUAUUUGUAUGCUAUAGUUAUAGUUUGUAUAAUUGUGCUCCAUAGAAAACUUUAUGUUUGUUAUGGCUAUUAAUCUGUAUAUUUCAGUACACAUAUACAUAAAAAAUAUGUUUUUGGGUCUAUUUGUAUAUUUCGGUAUACAAAUGGAUCUUGCAUUUGUAUAUUUUGGUAUACAAAUGAGUCCUGCUUUUGUAUAUUUCGGUAUACAAAUGGGAUGGCAAAAAACAUGGAAUGUUUGCUACGAAUUACAAAUGAAAAAAAAACUAUGGUUAUAGCAUUUAAUUUGAAUUAAUACUUUGUUAUUUCAUACAAUUUUCCCUAAAUUAUACCCUCAACUUAAACUACAUCCUUAAAUUAUUUUUCUUAACAGAAUACGUCCCUCAAUUAGUUAAAAUUUGACAACUUUCAUCCUUUUAUUAAAAUUUGUCAAAAACUAACAAAUUCUUCACAACAACAUGUACGGUGCACAUUGCUCUCAACAAAUUAAACUCCCUAAAUCACCCCAAUAAACCAAUUUUGUUCAUUCUACGUACAUCUAAAAUAAUAUUAUAAUUUUUUUUAGUAACAACGUUUUGCAUUGUCUUCCUUUUAAUUAGCAAUUUUAUUUUUAUUUACUUUUCAUUUGAUUUGAUAUCAAAGAAUUAUCUAUGGAAAUGUUUUCUUUUCAUUGAAUCUGUUUACUUCUAAUAAUGGAAAACGAAACUUGAGUACUAGAGAUCAAAAUUAGCUGAAUCUUGAUCACAUCAAUUAUCAAUUUGCCCCAAAAAAUUAUUGAUCUAACGACAUUUUGACUUUGCAAGGUGAAGAUGGUGUGAAAUUAAGCUCCAACUUCAUUCAGUUUGUAAAGGAGAAGAGAAGAUCAUAUCUCCUCAUAGACUCACACCGUCCUAACAUUAUUUUUUUAACAACAAACAUGAGUCUCAAUUUUUUAUUUUUUAUAUUUUAUUUUUGGAUGCUUUUUCCAACCGGUAAUAAUAUUAUAGAUUAUUUUUUUUAUGAGAAUAGUAGGAAUUGCAUAUGUUUUUGUGUGGAAUUCACUAUUUUUUUUGGUAAAUUCAAAUAGAGGGAUGAAUGUUGUUAAGUUUUAAAUACUUGGAGAAUGUUUUUUGUUAAGAAGAAUAAUUUAAGGAUGUAGUUUAAGUUGGGGUUAUAGUUUAAGGAUGUUUUUAGCCAAAAACUCUUAUGGAGUAAGAAGGUACGUAAACAAUGUAAAUUUCCAAUGAAAUAAAGUUAUAAAAAAAUAAAAUCUGACUCAAAAUUUGAAAAGCUUAUAUAAUGAUAUCGAAAUAGUGUUGCGUUAAAUUUGAUAAGUUGAUAUAAUGAUAUUAAAAUAGUUUCUAUUAGUUUUAGUGCUUGAAAUUUGAAGAAGACGUCAAAAAAAAAAUUGAUCUUUCUAUAAACACACAAUAAUAAUUUUGCGUAAUAUAUGUAUAAGGUUUGACUGUUUGAAAGACUUUACAAUAUUUAAUAAUGAGAGAAUAAAAAUAGUGAAAGGGGAUUAAAAAAAUAUAAACAUAAGAAUAAUAAUUGAUUCAUGAUAAUCGUCAGAAUAUAUAUAAGGCAACAAAAUAGAUAGCCACAUAAAAAAGAUGCUACAAUUAACUAAACAUUACUUCAUUUCUCAAUUUAACAAUGAUUCAUAUAUUUAAUGAGGUAAAAAGCUAUUAUCUUUUCUAUCCAAGAAAUUCUUUUCAAAUUUAUUAAUACAUGAUUUUUUUACACAAUAUAUAUAUAUAUAUGGGAGAAAGUGGAGGCUGUAAAAAAAUUGGUCCCCCAAACGAUUGAUUUAGUAGCCUUAUCGUCGAGAGGGCCCUGGAGAAGGAGGAUUGAGCUCUCUCAAGAUCUUAAGAAUCAUCCAUGGUAGAGGCACUACAUAAAAAAAAAUAUAAAAAAAAUAGUGGUAAUUAAUGGCAAUUGCUUUAUUGUCGGUAAAUAUGUUUUUUUAGAGGCAAUCAACACUUUUUGUAAAUAUUUUUAAAGCCUAUAAUGAUAUUAGAUCUAAUGACUAUUAACUAAUAUUAGUAUAAGUUUCAACACUUUUUACUAAUAUACAUAUUUAUUACCGCAAAAAUUUAUUUUUAUAAGAUUGAGCUUCUUCAGAUGUUAUAUCACAAGAGAAGAAGAAGAGAUGAGACAACUCCAAUUAUGAAUUGUGAAAGAUGCAAACGGAUUAAUCAUUUCACUAAAUCUGAAGUUUAUAUUUCACGGUAGGGGUGUCAAUAAAUCCUAUUAAACUAGAGGUGGCGAAAUUGAUCCAUUAAAACGUUAUUAUUUUGUGUAUUUUACUAGUUCAGUCUUGAAAUAGUUGGAUCAAUAUUUAACUCAAAUUGAUUAAUGAGAAACUUUGUCAAAGUAUUUUCAAAUGAAUAUUUUUGUAGUAGAUAUAUUAUAUAGUUAUAAAAAAAAGUAAUAAUUUUAAAGAAUAAAUAAAGUAAUUAAAAUUUAAUAAAAGAAGACGGUUGAGUUAUGAUUUACAUUUUAAUCAAUUUCAAUCAAGUAUGAUUUGCAUUUUAAUUCAUUCAAUCAAGUAAUUUUUGGACCGGAUUCUGUUUUUGGACUGAUUAAAUAGUUCAUUUGUUUUGAUUCUUCAAAUUCCUAGUUGUCCUAGUCACCCCAACAUCAACCUGCUCGUUGAGCGUCUCUAUUUUUUCCUUCAUGAAAUCGAUAGUGCUCAACGCUUCCAUGAGUCUGCACUCUAAAAUAGUGACGGUCUGCCUCAUCUCUAUCUUCAUCUGUGUACACCUAUUCAAGUCAUUUCAAAUGUUUUCGAUCUCCUCAAAAGUAUGUCCCACAAGAUAGCUUAGUGUGCCUUCUACUUUCCUAAAGCAUUGGCUAAAUAUCUCAAUUGCAUCAAUCCCUGCAUUAACCUUCGUGAACCACUCUCUACCAAACAAGACGUCCUCAGGCAAGACCUUCACAUCAUCCUUGCUCGCCUGAGUGGUAUAAGGUUCUUGGAAUGUAAGUCUUUCAUUUGACUCAACCUCGAGUGGUACCUUCUCGUUCAUGUUGGCAACAUUCCUCUUUUUGGUAUAGUCCUUGUCGGCGGCAUCCUGGGUGACGUUAGCUUGAAUGUUAGCAACAUUAAUUUUUCCAUCAUUUGUCAUUCUUUUAGUUGCAACCUUGCCUACCACAUUGGCUUAAGUCUUUUACUAAGCACACAUGUGAUACUUGACAAUUUGCUCAUGAUCUUGCUAUGUCAAGUCAACCCAAGACUAUAGAAAUCACUAAGAGAAUGAUAGAGAGAACACAAUAGAUCAUUGAUAUGAAGAAUGUCGUUGAGAACUUUGAUUGAUUUUUGUUUGAUGAUUUUACCAAUGGAUGUCCCUCUAUUUACAGUACUUUCGAUCACUUAGAGGUUGAUAUAUAAAUAACAAUUGUCAAACAAGUUUAUACAUAUUUACAAAUAAGUCUUUUUUCUAAAAUCUCUACAUGCCUAAAAUAUUCUCCAAGGCCUUCUAAUUAUUCUUCCUAAAUAUUCUGAAGUCUUUCAAGAAACUUUACAUACUCUCAAAUCUUCCCACAAAUGCUAUCAUUCGUAUCAUGUAUGCUUCCACAUGAAAAAACUCUAUACCACGUGACACCUAAGUUGUGUGAUAACAUAAUGGGUCAUCAAAUAAUAGUGAAGCCAACAAUUUGACUAGAGAUUGAAAAAAACAAAAUAUAAAAGUCAAGUCAGUCAAGGUUCAUAUUAGGGAAAGGAGAGUGAGGGGAAGAGGAGGCAGCCCUCAGUCCAAUCAUCCAAUUCGCUCCAACAGACAGACAUGAUUCUGUAGUCAAAGCAACUUCGUCAUUUUUCGCAUUAGCACCUUCCCAUUUUGCUAAUGUUUAUUUUAUUCUUAAUAUUUUUCAAUUACACAAGGGUAAUAUUACUUCUUUUUUUCUUUUUUUUUCAUAUUCACUGUAAAUAAAAUUUUGGAGAUCCGUUAAUUAGGCUUCAAAGCCCCUUAAUUGAUCCCUUUUUUAUCUCGUUGACAUAAUUAUAUAACUCCAUGUGCACCAAACUUUGAUAAUUACACCGAAAAUUAAUGAUGAUCUCUUUGCCAGGUACAACAUCCACCUAGUUCUAAUUACUAACUAGUUGCCUCACACAACGUCCAAAAUAUUUCAUUGCUACUCCCUAAGAAAGAUAUGCUAGUAUAUACCUCCGUCUUAUAUAGUAAAUAUUUUAUUAAUUUGAUUAUCGAUUUAGCUGGUUCACAAACUAAAAUUUAAUCAAUCAUAACAUUAAUACAUAAAAUCGACCAAUCGAUGCAUAUUACUACUUUCAUUUCAUCUCCAAGGAAUUUCUAAUUAAUGAAAGGGUUUCGUUUGAUUCCUUAUAAGCAUACCAAAACGUAUUGGGGUGUGAAAUGAACCACAAUGAGUUAAAAUUGAUCAAAUCAAUAAAUAUCUAAGCUAUAGUUUGGUUAUUUAAUGAGAAAUCCCUUAAUAUAUCAUCACAGGAUAAAAAUAUUGGCAUGGUAUCAUAUUUCAACGAGGCACUCUUCAAUCCUCUAUAAUACCAUCAUGGUGUAUCUAUAUACUGAUAUGAUUGGUAUCAUGGAGAACUGGUUCAGUCCUUCAGUGAGAUAUUCCUCAGUAACAACCACAAUAUACCUAUAUAUUGUCAUAAUAUCAUCUUUCAAUUUUCCAUGUAACAUAAGUCGGUAUACCUAUAUAUUUUCAUGAUAGCAACCUUCAAUGACACUCAUCAAUUUUCCAUGUUAUUUAAGUUGGUCAGAGCAUUCAGAUGAGCUAAUUUUAAUGACGUUGAAAAUAGAAGGAUUUCUUACGUAACUAUAUAGGGAAAAGGGAUAAUACAAUAAAAUGAUCAUAUAUUUAUUAAUGUAUCAAUAUCAUAUAACAGUGUAUAUAUAAUGUAUAAUGAGUCGAAUGUUAAUGGAAUUAGGCAAAUGUAAUAUCAACCAAACAAGUCAGGAACAUGGAAGAAAUCAUUUUCCAUUCUCAGUCAACUAUCUAAUCUGGAAUCAAUUGAGGGAAGCAAGCAAAGCUUAUUUCUUCAAACAAGUGUGUAAAAAAACGAAUUGUCGAACAAGAACAAACAUGAAGAUGAAGACUAUUGAGUAGAUAAGAGGUAAGGGGAACAAAGUGUUAGCACAAAAAUUCUAACAUCAUAAUCCAUUAAAAGCUCAACUUGUUUGAAUUGAAAGAGAAAGGAAUAUCCUUCGAUGAGCUUAACUUCAAGCCACAGUAUUUAAUCACAAAUAUUGUUGUUGUAGAAGCAAACGCAUUGAACGUAAUUCUUUCUAUGGGGCAAACAGUACAUACAUACGAAAAUUUGAAGUAAAGGAGAGAAUUUUUGGCCUGUUGUGUAAGAACUACAAAUAUAAGAACUAAAGAGCUAGGGAAACUAGACUGUAUUAUUGAUGAUUACCACCAUUGAUGAACAAGAACUCCACUUUCUCUUAGAGAAGUGAAGAGAUCCAAACACUGGCUAUACGUAUUCGGAUACUUUGAAGACCUCUCCCCAGGGCAGCAUUUCUGCCACCUAUUGUAAUGGCAUUCAAGAAACACUUCAUCAAUCAAGCAAAUUGCUCCUGUUUCAAUCAAUCUCGGGAUCAAAUCGAAUUCAGUCCCUUCAACAUCCAUCUUCAUCACCACAUAAUCCUUCUCUGAUACCGCGCUCAUCAACCAUUCAGCAAAGUCAAAACCUUGGAUUACAUCCACCUCACUUGCAGAUUCACUAGAAGAUUCAACAGGUUGAAUUCUUCCCAUCCCUCUUCCUUUUGCCACAUCUUUAUGACCCGGAUCUUGAUUAAUCUCAAACGACAACGUCUCAUUCUUAACCCAAGCUGCAUAUGGCAACAAAGUAACCCCUUUCUUCUCCUUAUACUGCCCAUGGAAAGUCUUGUCAGCCUCAACAGCAUAUAUCUCAAAGGUCUUGUUUUGCUUAGGAUACUGUUUCUUGAACCAACUCACAAUGCUUGAACCAUAACUCCUCGAACCAACAUCAACAUAGACAUAUCUCUGCUUAAAACUAAUAUCCGCCAUGGACGACAAGUACUUAAUGCUCUGUGCAUUCUUCUUAAGUGUAAUCCAUGGUUUCUUAGGUUCCUCUUUAAUCAAAGGCUCAGCUUUUUUAAUCAGUUUCAUUUUAUAAUCGGGAACAUGACGACAAUUGUUCUUGGAAUCACUCACUUUUUCUUCAACAAAUACAUCCUUUUUCAUAACAAUCUCACGAAUAGUCGAAUCGAAACCAUCAAUAUUCCUAGACUUAAUCAAUGUACAACAAUUAAACAAAUGAAGGAAUGAAUUGAAACUGUAUGUAUCAUUAGAACCUGUAUGGACAACCAAAAACCCUUCGGGUUUUAGAGUCCGGCAAAUCUCCGCCGCAAAAUCUCCCGGCUUAAGUGACUUAUCUAUCAUUCCGGCACCGGAAAAUAUGAAAUCGAAUGUAUCAUCUUCAAAGGGUUGCUUAACAGCUUUACCUGUAAUCACCAAAGGCUUUGAACCUUUCUUGUAAAGCCCAACGGAAUCGGCAACCCCAAUUUCCCUCAACGCAAAAACAUCAGCACCCAUCGGCGUUUCAACGCAAAGGGUUUUCGAAUUUGGGUUCAAAAAACCAUCCGCAACAAGAUCCUCAAACACCGAAGAAUAAAAUUGGGCCGACUUUUGGAAAUCUUUGUUCGCCCAUAGAUCGGGAAGUUUGGGCUUCGUCGGAGCAGAUUUUCCGGCAUUCUCGGUGGUCAUGACCGCUGAUACAGACCCAGCGAGCUGUCCGACGCCGGAAAUAACAUUGAGAUUUUCCGGUAUAGAGAAGAAACAAAAAUCGCCGAGGUCACAAGUUUCCCCUUUGAGAGUCACCACAUAAGCAAACCGACAACAGACAAUCACAACACAAAAAAGGCAUAAACGUACCAAAACAUUCCUAAAAAAUCCCGGUUUUCCCGUACUAUGAUCCAUCAAAAUCGCUCCUUUUACUUUUCAAAAAUGAAUAUCUACAACGAAUAUUUUGCAAGUAUAUAGAAGAAAAAAGAAUGGGUACCCAAAAUUUGAGAGGAGAGAAGAGGGGUUUUCUGAAAAGAAUGGAUUACCGGGAACAGAAACGAGCAGAGGUAUGAUUACCACCGAUGAGAGAACGAUGAGACAUAGGUUUUGAAAAGGGUAUAAAGAAAGGAGCGAAAUCAGUAAAAGGGCCCAACAUUUUGCAGGAGAAAAUCACUCUUUCAUAGAUUUCUUCCAGCAAUCCCAAACCCAAAUUC